rnacentral:rRNA from 1 species
CCUACGGGGGGCUGCAGUGAGGAAUAUUGGUCAAUGGGCGAGAGCCUGAACCAGCCAAGUCGCGUGAAGGAUGACGGAUCUAUUGUUUGUAAACUUCUUUUUUAUGGGAAUAAAGUGAGGAACGUGUUCCGUUUUGUAUGUACCAUAUGAAUAAGCAUCGGCUAACUCCGUGCCAGCAGCCGCGGUAAUACGGGGGAUGCAAGCGUUAUCCGGAUUUAUUGGGUUUAAAGGGUGCGUAGGUGGUCCGGAAAGUCAGCGGUAAAAGCCCGGGGCUCAACCCCGGCGAGCCGUUGAAACUGUCGGACUGGAGACGGCGAGAAGUACGCGGAAUGCGCGGUGUAGCGGUGAAAUGCAUAGAUAUCGCGCAGAACUCCGAUUGCGAAGGCAGCGUACCGGCGCCGGACUGACGCUGAGGCACGAAAGCGUGGGUAUCGAACAGGAUUAGAUACCCGGGUAGUC